rnacentral:rRNA from 1 species
GUGCCAGCCGCCGCGGUAAUACCGGCAGCUCAAGUGAUGUCCCAUAUUAUUGGGCCUAAAGCGUCCGUAGCUGGCCGCGCAAGUCCGUCGGGAAAUCCACCUGCCCAACAGGUGGGCGUCCGGCGGAAACUGUGUGGCUUGGGACCGGAAGGCUCGAAGGGUACGUUCGGGGUAGGAGUGAAAUCCCAUAAUCCCGCACGGACCACCGAUGGCGAAAGCACUUCGAGAAAACGGAUCCGACAGUGAGGGACGAAAGCCAGGGUCUCCAACCGGAUUAGAUACCCCGGUAGUCC